rnacentral:rRNA from 1 species
CAAGCGGUGGAGCAUGUGGUUUAAUUCGAUGCAACGCGAAGAACCUUACCUACUCUUGACAUCCAGCGAACUUAGCAGAGAUGCUUUGGUGCCUUCGGGAACGCUGAGACAGGUGCUGCAUGGCUGUCGUCAGCUCGUGUUGUGAAAUGUUGGGUUAAGUCCCGCAACGAGCGCAACCCUUAUCCUUUGUUGCCAGCGAUACGGUCGGGGACUCAAAGGAGACCGCCGGUGAUAAACCGGAGGAAGGUGGGGAUGACGUCAAGUCAUCAUGGCCCUUACGAGUAGGGCUACACACGUGCUACAAUGGCGCAUACAAAGAGAAGCGACCUCGCGAGAGCAAGCGGACCUCAGAAAGUGCGUCGUAGUCCGGAUCGGAGUCUGCAACUCGACUCCGUGAAGUCGGAAUCGCUAGUAAUCGUGGAUCAGAAUGCCACGGUGAAUACGUUCCCGGGCCUUGUACACACC